GUACGCGUGGGUAACCUGCCCUGUACACACGGAUAACAUACCGAAAGGUAUGCUAAUACGGGAUGACAUAUGAAAGUCGCAUGGCUUUUGUAUCAAAGCUCCGGCGGUACAGGAUGGACCCGCGUCUGAUUAGCUAGUUGGUGAGGUAAUGGCUCACCAAGGCGACGAUCAGUAGCCGACCUGAGAGGGUGAUCGGCCACACUGGAACUGAGACACGGUCCAGACUCCUACGGGAGGCAGCAGUGGGGAAUAUUGCACAAUGGGCGAAAGCCUGAUGCAGCAACGCCGCGUGAGCGAUGAAGGCCUUCGGGUCGUAAAGCUCUGUCCUCAAGGAAGAUAAUGACGGUACUUGAGGAGGAAGCCCCGGCUAACUACGUGCCAGCAGCCGCGGUAAUACGUAGGGGGCUAGCGUUAUCCGGAAUUACUGGGCGUAAAGGGUGCGUAGGCGGUCUUUCAAGCCAGAAGUGAAAGGCUACGGCUCAACCGUAGUAAGCUUUUGGAACUGUAGGACUUGAGUGCAGGAGAGGAGAGUAGAAUUCCUAGUGUAGCGGUGAAAUGCGUAGAUAUUAGGAGGAAUACCAGUAGCGAAGGCGGCUCUCUGGACUGUAACUGACGCUGAGGCACGAAAGCAUGGGGAGCAAACAGGAUUAGAUACCCUGGUAGUCCAUGCCGUAAACGAUGAGUACUAGUGUCGGGGGUU
rnacentral:rRNA from 1 species